rnacentral:lncRNA from 1 species
CGGAAUCUGCUGUUGCCUUCCAUGUAUUAUUGCUGUUCUAUAUGCUGUAGCUGAUCAGGUAAUGCUCUCAUGAUUUUUCUAGUUUCUUUAUCUUCAUUUUAUUAUAAGGAACUUUGUCUUUCUCGGGGAAUCUAUAUUAGGAGCUAUCUGUCAUAUAGGUAUCAUAAAAUGAACGAUACUUUAUGGUAAUUAGCUUCUUGUGGUUCAAUCCAAUAGAGUCCUUUCCCUUAUGAAACUCAUGUGGAAGUGCUCUUCCUUUGCACCUAGUUAUUUUAGAUGGAUUUCAAUGGAAUUUUUUGUUCGUUCGUAGAUUGAUUGAAUUUUAUUAUGCCCUUAAAUGCAUUUAAGAGCUAGACAGAUGAAAUAGAAGACAUAGUUUGGCAAUAAAGUAAGAUUUGCUAGUCUGACCUAUGUAAUUAGACUGGGUUAAUAUCAUGAAAUGUACUUUUGAUUAGUUGCUGCUAUUGAUAUGUUUGAGAUGAGGCUUCUUUAAGUCGAGUGGAGCUGCUCAAGUUCUUAGUUCAGUUGAUUUCUGUGUUUAAAGAACUAAGCUGUCUUGGUGGACAGCAAAAAAUGUAAUAUUUCCUUUAGGAGUAUAGAGGUAGGGGUCGAUACAUACUUUUCAUUUCCCAGAAGAUAUAUGCUUUCCAUUCUCUGAAAGAAGGAUGCUUGGGUUGCUCUUUCCAGAAGAAAAUGGCAUGAAAUUUUGUUAACAAAGGUAAUUGGCAAUAUCAAUAAAGUGGUGUGGUCUUCAUCGUGGUGUCAAUAGCAGCAGUAUGUUGGAUAAUUGGGUUGAUGUUGAAUUUUGGAACAAGAUCAUUCUAGUUCUAUUCCAAGGACAUGAUUUUUCAAGAAAAGCUAUGUGUACUCCUUUGUUCCAAUGUUGAAGGUUACUGUAAACGAUUUACAUCAGCUCUAGGCUCUCUUAUUGAGAUUCUCUUCAAGAUAUAUGAAAAUUGUGGAAUAAGAAAUUUCUGAUUUACAUACUAAAAAUUCAUUGAUGUUUGUGCGUCAUGUUUAUCAUGUUUUUGCUAUAUAAUUUUUCCAAUAUUUCCUACAGAAAGGAGCUGACAAAGAAGAUAUUGAACAACUGUCAAAGUACAUUUUCCGACACAAUGGCGGUAGUAAGAAUCGGACUGGUGAGAUUCAAGGGACAUUUGCUGGAUUCAUGACCCAGUGUGGGACAGAUACACCCAUUGAGCACUCACUUUCCACAGACGAUGCUGUAUGUAGACUUGCUUUUCUAUCUUUUUACCUUGUUUUACUCUAGCUUGUUAUUUGCGUCAGGAAACGUGCUUAUAGUAUGUCCAUAUAUUGUUAAUAGGCAUGUUCCAUAUGUCUCUCUACUUAUGAUGAUGAAGAUGUACUCCGAGAACUUCCCUGUGGUCACCAUUUUCACUGUGCUUGUAUUGACAAAUGGCUAUAUAUGAGUGCAACCUGUCCCCUUUGCAAGCGCAGCAUCGUUGGGGCUAGCUGUUGCAGUGAAGAAGUUUAGAAGAGGAUCAUUGAGAUAUGUCCAUAUAUUGUUAAUAGGCAUGUUCCAUAUGUCUCUCUACUUAUGAUGAUGGAGAAGAACUCCGAGAACUUCCCUGUGGUCACCAUUUUCACUGUGCUUGUAUUGACAAAUGGCUAUAUAUGAGUGCAACCUGUCCCCUUUGCAAGCGCAGCAUCGUUGGGGCUAGCUGUUGCAAUGGAGAAGUUUAGAAGAGGAUCAUUGAGAAGAAUGCAGGUGUUUGUUGCGAGUUUUUACACAUGCUGUUAUUUCAAUACAGAGUCAUAGCUAUGUUUUUCCUGCCUGCUAUUGUUUGGGCAGCUGUAUUCUUCUCUUAGACCACCAACCUUGAGUAUGUACAUAUGAACAGAUAACUCUUUGCCACUAUCUAUAAAGAUAUAUACAUAUGCUAGUGCAGAUAAAUACACAUACUUGCGCUGGAAACAGGAGCUCAAGACAUAGGAAUUUUAUGCAGAAAUAAGGUAUGUUCAUUCAGAAGCCCUUCAAAGGACGCAGGCAAACUUUCACAUUGAACUAAAUUUUCCUUUCAGUUGCAAUAUGAAAACCGCAAAAGGCAGCAAGCUGCCUCUGACACCAUAGGCGAAUGAGACAUGCUGGAUAUAUAAGUAAAAUAUGUCUUAGACCUUAAUGGUGCGUUUUAAAGUCGUGCAGAUCUAGGUCAAACGCGGACAAUAUUACUAGUGGGCUGG